rnacentral:rRNA from 1 species
ACGUCAGUAUUGACUGCAUCGCGUGUCGCCCUUUUCCGGUUGAUCCCGCCGGAGGUUACUGCUAUCGGUGUUCGCCUAAGCCAUGCGAGUCAUAUGUUCUUCGUGAACAUGGCGUACUGCUCAGUAACACGUGGAUAACCUGCCCUUGGGUCCGGCAUAACCCCGGGAAACUGGGGAUAAUUCCGGAUAACGCACAUAUGCUGGAAUGCUUUAUGCGUCAAAUGGAUUCGUCUGCCCAAGGAUGGGUCUGCGGCCUAUCAGGUAGUAGUGGGUGUAAUGUACCUACUAGCCGACGACGGGUACGGGUUGUGAGAGCAAGAGCCCGGAGAUGGAUUCUGAGACAUGAAUCCAGGCCCUACGGGGCGCAGCAGGCGCGAAAACUUUACAAUGCGGGAAACCGUGAUAAGGGGACACCGAGUGCCAGCAUCAUAUGCUGGCUGUCCGGGUGUGUAAAAUACACCUGUUAGCAAGGGCCGGGCAAGACCGGUGCCAGCCGCCGCGGUAACACCGGCGGCCCGAGUGGUGAUCGUGAUUAUUGGGUCUAAAGGGUCCGUAGCCGGUUUGGUCAGUCCUCCGGGAAAUCUGACGGCUUAACCGUUAGGCUUUCGGAGGAUACUGCCAGGCUUGGAACCGGGAGAGGUAAGAGGUACUACAGGGGUAGGAGUGAAAUCUUGUAAUCCCUGUGGGACCACCUGUGGCGAAGGCGUCUUACCAGAACGGGUUCGACGGUGAGGGACGAAAGCUGGGGGCACGAACCGGAUUAGAUACCCGGGUAGUCCCAGCCGUAAACGAUGCUCGCUAGGUGUCAGGCAUGGCGCGACCGUGUCUGGUGCCGUAGGGAAGCCGUGAAGCGAGCCACCUGGGAAGUACGGCCGCAAGGCUGAAACUUAAAGGAAUUGGCGGGGGAGCACAACAACGGGUGGAGCCUGCGGUUUAAUUGGACUCAACGCCGGACAACUCACCGGGGGCGACAGCAAUAUGUAGGCCAAGCUGAAGACUUUGCCUGAAUCGCUGAGAGGAGGUGCAUGGCCGUCGCCAGUUCGUACUGUGAAGCAUCCUGUUAAGUCAGGCAACGAGCGAGACCCGUGCCCACUGUUACCAGCGUGUCCUCCGGGACGAUGGGUACACUGUGGGGACCGCCGGUGUUAAAUCGGAGGAAGGUGCGGGCCACGGUAGGUCAGUAUGCCCCGAAUCUCCCGGGCUACACGCGGGCUACAAUGGAUGGGACAAUGGGUCCCUCCCCUGAAAAGGGCUGGCAAUCUCACAAACCCAUCCUUAGUUCGGAUCGAGGGCUGUAACUCGCCCUCGUGAAGCUGGAAUCCGUAGUAAUCGCGUUUCAAUAUAGCGCGGUGAAUACGUCCCUGCUCCUUGCACACACCGCCCGUCAAACCACCCGAGUGAGGUAUGGGUGAGGGCACGGACACUGUGCCGUGUUCGAACCUGAAUUUUGCAAGGGGGGUUAAGUCGUAACAAGGUAACCAAGGGCGACACGCGAUUGCAGCGAGCCUCAGACACUGGCCGC